UACGUAGGUGGCAAGCGUUGUCCGGAAUUAUUGGGCGUAAAGCGCGCGCAGGCGGUCCUUUAAGUCUGAUGUGAAAGCCCACGGCUCAACCGUGGAGGGUCAUUGGAAACUGGGGGACUUGAGUGCAGAAGAGGAAAGCGGAAUUCCACGUGUAGCGGUGAAAUGCGUAGAUAUCAAGAGGAACACCGGUGGCGAAGGCGGCUCUCUGGUCCAAUCCUGACGCUGAGGUGCGAAAGCUAGGGGAGCAAACGGG
rnacentral:rRNA from 1 species